GAGUAAUACUUCUUUGAGAUGUCCUGCUCUGGAAGUGGACAGGAUUCUCUGAGGCCAUGUACAUACAGAAGUUACUAGCUGAGUACCGUGAGAAUUACCUGGCCUGAACAACUGUAUGUGGUAGCUCAGCUAGUCCAUUAGAGUCUAAACUCAACCACUAUUACCCAGAGGAAUUUACCCAUUUACCCAUGAUGAAUCCAUUUCUCUCUUGUGGAAUGAUACAUAGCUGCAUGUGAAUAGAUUAAAUUGACAUGGAUGACUCAUAGCAUCAGGGGUUGGGAUUCUUCUCUUCCCUUUUCUGCCAUUUCUACAGUGAGCUCAGACAGAGGAUUCAAGCCACAUCCAUGUACAUUGGCAGCAGAAUGGAUGGAGGAGAGAGGAGGCCAUGCUGCCAUUCUGGUUAGGAUUUAGUUCAGUUGCCCUGUCUGAUUCUAAGAGAAUGUUUUCCUAGGAACUAUGAUCCCACUAUGGAAUAAAAGGAGGAAUGGCUGACUUGGAGAGGAAUAGCUAGCAGUGCCUGGCAGGGGUGAGAAGAGCCUCUUCCACAGGGAGAGAUGUUCAUAUGGGGUUGUGUCCUGGUAAACUCAUAGCAAGUCAAAGGUAGAUUUUUUAAAGUACUUUUUUUAUUUAAAUUAGAGAAAAAGCUUGUUUUACAUGUCUAUCCUAGUUCCCUUUCCCUCCCCUCCUCCACUGACCCCCAAUGACCCCCUAUCCCAUCCCCGUUCUGCUCCCCAGGGAGGGUGAGUAGAUGGGGAGUGGGAUGGGGAGUUGGUUGGGGAGGGAGAGGGAACUGGUGUAUGUAUGUAAAAUAAGAUUGUUUUUAAUUUAAAUGAAUUUAAUUUAAAUAAAUAAAAAAGCUGAAAGACAGAGUCUUGCACCUGGCUAUCCAUAGUAACCACCAAGAAAAUAAUUCAUUUUUAUUCAAGCCACUUCUUAGUGCUGUGUUUCACAAAUCAUCACUGUAGUCAGGAAAAAUUGUAGCAGAAAUUACAAUAGAUAUUUGGUGUAAUUUGUUGGAUAAACUAGAUGGCUGGUCAACAAAUGUAAAUAUAUGAGAAUAGUUCCUGGGCUACAGAGAUCACUGAGCAGUUAAAGGACUUGCUGUGGAAGUAUCAGGACUGAAAAGGGAUUUGGAUCCCCAGUACUUAGUAAAUACCAGGCCAGUGUGGUGGAACACUAUAAUCCCAAUUCUGGGAGGCUGCUCUGUGGAUCCCUGGAUCAGCUAAGCCAUAGUACUUGAAUUAGCCAACUUGCCUUCAGGAGGGAGACUUUAAAACAUAAGGCGGAUAGUGAUGGGAGAAGAAACUGACAUUGACCUCUGAUCUUCUAUGGAUAAGCAUGUGCAUCCACAUACACGUGGGCAAACACACAUGCAAUAACAUGCAUGCAAAAAUGUGCACAACAUAUACAAAAAAUUACUUCUGUGAACUUAUGUAUGUUGACUAUAGUAUAGCUUUGUCAGAUAUUCUAAUUUGUCCACAUUUUUAACAGUUAUCUCAUGUUGAGACUAGAAACAAGAGAUAUUCAGUGGGCAGUCUUUGUCUUUUUCUAACAAGUUGCUUUUGGUGGAGCUAUCAUUAGAUCUAUGAAUUACACUGAUCCCUUCUAAAGGUGACAUCCCAAAUGAUGUCAUUCCUUUCCUCGAGGGUCCAGCUUCCUUCAUAUAAGCACAUGAGCUGUUGGAGGACACAUUCAACCUAUUCAUAGUCAUCUUCACAGAAAUAAAAAAAAUGGUGAAAUUCCUAUGAGACUAUAAAAAUUAUGAAAUUCUAUGAAAAAUAGAAAGAACCACAUUUUCUUAUUUUGAAUUAUAUUAUAAAAUUAUAAUAUUGAAAAUGGCAUGGUACUUAAUAAAAACAGACACACAGAACAAUGAAAAAUGUGGAAAUGACAGAAGUAAGCUUAUUUACACACAAUGAAGUAAUCUUUUGGCAAGUACAUGAAAAAAUACACUAGGAGAAAAGGAGAGUUUCUUCAGUAAAUGGUGUUAGAAAACUAACCGCAUGCAGAAGAAAUGAGGUUGGAUAUUUAUGCUGCACACAAGAUCCACUAAAAGGGUAUCAAUGACUUAAAUAUAGCACCAGAAACUGUAAAGACAUCUAGAGGAAAACAGGAAAAAUGCUCUGUGACAUUGUUCUUUUCAUCAGGCUCUUCUGUCAGACUCUCUUUGGAUUGACAGCCAGCAAAUAAUGACCCAGAGACUUAUUGUUAAUUAUGAAAGCUUGGCGUUUACUUAGGCUUUUCCCCAACUAGUUAUUAUAAUUAACCCAUUUUUUUAAAAUCCACGUUCUGCCACGUGAUUUGGUUACCUCUUAGUACAGCAUAUCCUACUUGCUGGCAGUAUCUCUGGCCUAGAUUCCUCCUCCUCCUUUCUCUCUUUCUGCCCAGAAGUCCUGCCUAUUCUCUCCUGCCUAGAUAUUGGCCUGUUAGCUCUUUGUUAAACCAAUCAGAAAGUGCCUUCCGCAAAGACAUAUCUCUACAGUAUAAACAAAUAUUCUGAAACAGUUCUUGGAAAGGAUUGUUUUGGGGUUAAAAAGAUAGUAGUGAACAAAAACCUGGUAAAAGAUUGAUAUUUAAAAUAUCUAAUGUACUGAUAUAAUUCAUAUUUUAAAAUGGUAAUCUAAAUGAAAAUAGGCAAAAAUCUUUUAUAGACAUUUUUCCAAGGAAGCCAUAGAAAUUGACAAUAGAGGAGGAAAAGUAUUCCUUCACAAUAUAUCAUGGAAUGAAGUCAUAAUGAUGACAUCAUUUCACACUUGUCAAGAUGAUCACUAUAAAGACACCAAAAAGAGGACAUGGGGCCUGACGAGAUGGUUCCGCAGUUAUGAGCACUGUUGCUCUUGAAGAGGACCUUGGUUCAGUUUCCAGCAUCCACAUGGUAGCUCACAACUCUCUACAACUCCAAUUUCAGUGGCUCCAAUGCCCUUUUCCAAUAGCCACUGGCACCAGGCAAGCACAUGGUGCACAUACAUACAUACAUGCAGGCAAAACACUCAUCUACACCAAGUAAGAUAAAAUAAUCUAAAAUAAUUUUGGAAGAAAACGUAGAAAAAUGGAACAUUUCACACAUAUUAUGAAAAUACCAAUUUGUGGAUCCAUCAUGAAAACAGUAUUGAGUUUCUUCAAAAACAACACUGCCAUAUUGCUCAAAAAUUCCACUUUCAGGCAUAUGCUUUCCAAAAAUGAAAUCAGAUGCCAAAGAGGCAACCAUACAUCAAUAUUUAUGACAAGAUAAAGAACAAAUGUUUCAAGUGAUAAAUAGAUGAAUGAAGAGGUAUCCAUACAUCUGCACAUAUAUCCAUGUAAAUGGAGUUCUUAAUUGGUCUAGAUAAUAAAAACCCAGAGUCAGAUAUAGAGGAAAAUGCUAAGAGAUCAGAAAGAAGAAAGAGCAAGCCACAGCCACAUUUUACCUCCUUGGUGUCUCCUCAGACAAGAUAGCAAGUUCCUGUUUCUCCCUGCUUACAUCUUAUUUCCACCCAGCUUCCUCACUUCCUGUCUGUCUGUACAGACCUCCAGACUCUAUGGUUAGCUAAUGACAAGCUCCAUUCUAUGACCUUCAGACAGUCUUUAUUUAUACAUGCAAGAUAUCACCAUAUAUACACAUUUAUAAGUCAUGCCACUUACAGUGACACAGAUGAACCUGCAGAAUUUUACACCAGCUGAAACUGGCCAGAUAUAGGAAAGCAAAUGUGCCAUGAUCUUCUAUGCAUGAAGUCUACAGAAAUUGAAUUCAGAGAAGCAGAGAGGUAAAGGGUUGUUAUCUAGAGUCAUGGGGCAAGAGAAAUAGUCAAGGGGUACAGAAUCUUAACUGUUUAAGGAGUGUGUUCCAGAAGCCUAAUUAGAGCAUGGUAAUGAUAGCUAGCAAGACUGCAUGCUGAAAUUUGCUGAGAUCUUACACAGAUGAGCAUAUUAACUGGUUUGAUUGUGAUAAUAACCUAAUAACCUAUAUCAAAGCAUAGGUUUAUUUUGAAUAUCUAAAAAUUUUAUUUGCCAAUUAAUCUUCAAUAAAGGAAAGCGGAGAAAAUGAGAGAGAGAGAGAGAGAGAGAGAGAGAGAGAGAGAGAGAGAGAGAGAGAGCUUGAAAAUAGUAAGAACUAAGAACCAAGAGCAGCACACACUGGUUGCUGUUCCUUUCCAGGGCUGGGGAAAGGGGAAGAACCAAAGAAAGCCAGAUAAUUUCCCUCCCAUCCUGUUUCAUGUUCCCUGAGCUUGGGAACAAACAUGGAAGCUUCAGAGAGAGAAAAAGCCUUGACUAGAGCAUGAUGUUGUCCUUGUAAACUAGGUAAAGACAGGUUUUAAAAGUUAAAAGUAUGCAAAGAGUUCCGGAGUCUACUUAAGAUCAAGGAUGCCUAAUAAUCUCUUGGUGAGGUUGGGGCAUGCAAGAAGUUAGUUCAGUCAUUUCCAGGUUCUCACUGGGUAGAGUUUGUCAAAUAACCUGCUUUUAAGCAACAUCAUCUUAUAUGCAUCUUUGUUCUUUCCUACUCCUCCCACAGCUUCUGUCUCCAGGUUAAUACUCUCCUCUUUUAGUUUCUGCAUUUGAAAUGCAUACUUUCAGUCUUGAUGAGACAUCUCUGUGUAUUUCAAGAAAGAGUGUCUAAUUAUAAGUAACUUUCUGGCUUUUUCCCCAGGUCAAUGCUUUCUUAAAAUCUGUUUUUUUUUUUUUUUUUUUACUUCUUUCUUCCCUCUAAAAAUAUAAUUAUAUUUCCCAGAGUGUAUUGAGUCUUUUUUUUUAAUUUACACCAUAAUGUGUCAGUCUCUAUUUAUAAUGAUUGGGAAACUGUUCCUUUAGUUCUGGGAAUAUAGUCUCCAGGAUAUAAAAUCCUGGAAAGCCUAUUGCUUAAGACUGUCCAUGAGAAAUGCAGAGUUAGCAGUGUUACUACUGAAGACUCCCUUAGAGAAAUAUAACCUCGAAUGCUUCUUGGCUGCUAUAGUGCUGGCCUCUUCACUGCAAGGAUUUUGUUGGCUGCCAGAGUGGGAGCUCAAAUAAGGCAGAUCUGCUGGUAAGAAAGGCUGAGGUUAUAUGAGCUUAAGAGAGGGAACUGGACCGAGGUGGGAUAUCUUCCUGUCCUUGUCUCAUCAGAAAUGAUCAUGUUUUGUUGUCUUCUCUAUCUUAAACUUCUCUCUCUGGGUGUCUCUGUCUGUGUCUGUCUGUCUGUCUAAGUUUCUCUCAGUCUCUCCCUCUCUCUCUCUCUCUCUCUCUCUCUCUCUCUCUCUCUCUCUCUCUCUCUGUCUCUCUCUCCCUCUCUCUCUCUCUGCUUCUUCUCCUUUCCAAACCUCUGUGGAACAUACUAUCCUCUUGGAGAUAAAGAUGUUUACUGAUAAAGAAAAAAGAUGGGGACUAAUAAAAGGAGAGAAUGAAUGAGGGGAAUAAAACAACUCCCUGUUCUUUGUUUUCCCAUCACUUGUCCCUGGAUCACUUAAAUUCUGGGUUGUGCUCUGGCAUUUCUUAGGUAGGUGUCACCCCACAAUUUAGUUUUAUUUGAUUUGCUUAAUGUUUUAAGAUCUUAAAGUCCUGGAUCAAGCGCUCCGAUUAUUGCCAGCUUGCACUAUGAAGCUUACCACACUCUUCAUGGUUCUCUGUUUUACUUCUCUUCCUUCUUUCUUCUUUUAUAUAAACCUUGUGGCCUCAGCUAGGUAUUGGAGUUUGUAGCCCUUCUUAAGGCAGAAAGUAUGUUGUAUUCCUAUAUCGUCAUCCCUAUAUCUAACAAAUGUCACAGGGAAUAGAGUAUUCUCAAUUGGUAUAGCCUUUCUUCACACAGGCACAGAGGGGGGGGGCGGAGGGAGGGAGGGUGGUAGGGAGGGAGGGAGAGAG
ensembl:lncRNA